rnacentral:rRNA from 1 species
UACGGAAGGUGGCAAGCGUUAUUCGGAAUUAUUGGGCGUAAAGGGCGCGUAGGCGGCUUUGCAAGUGGCGGGUGAAAUCCCUCGGCUUAACCGAGGAACUGCCUGCCAGACUGUGAGGCUUGAGACCGGGAGAGGUGAGUGGAAUUCCCAGUGUAGCGGUGAAAUGCGUAGAUAUUGGGAGGAACACCAGUGGCGAAGGCGGCUCACUGGACCGGAACUGACGCUGAGGCGCGAAAGCGUGGGGAGCAAACAGG